rnacentral:rRNA from 1 species
UUACAAUCAUUCAGAGCACUAUGUGGGUCUGUUUGAAUAUUAAGGACGGCUUGUCUUUUGGCGAUAAAUUAAUGAGUUCGAUUUUUUCUCAAUCGAUAGGCUAAAAGCCUUAUCUCAAUCGAAAAAAUCUUCACAACAUUAAUUUCUCAUCCAAAAUACUUCGCUUUCUAUAUUCAAAUUUUAAAGAUUUCGAACUUUGUUAAUUUUAAAAUUUUCUUAGAAUUUUAAAAUCCCAACUUAGAUAUUUAAAAUUUAACAACCAAGAAGCGAAGAAAGACAAACAAAACUUUAAGACAUCGGAUAAAUUCUUAAAUAUCUUAAGUUUUAAAUUUGAACAAAGCCGCAAGAAAAGUAUAAAUCAUUAAGUGCAAGUGGUAGGAGAGCGUUCCAAUCAGCGUCGAAGCCGUACCGGUAAGGAGCGGUGGAGCGGUUGGAAGUGAGCAUGCAGGCAUGAGUAGCGAUAAAAUACGUGAGAAUCGUAUUCGCCGUAAACCCAAGGUUUCCUACGCGAUGCUCGUCAUCGUAGGGUUAGUCGGGUCCUAAGCAAAGUCCGAAAGGGGUAUGCGAUGGAAAAUCGGUUAAUAUUCCGAUACCGAUAUCAGUGUGCGACGGAAGGACGCUUAAAGUUAGUGGAGCUAGCGGAUGGAAGUGCUAGUCUAAGGAAGUAGGUUGAGUUAUAGGCAAAUCCGUAACUCUUUAUCCGAGAUCUGAAAGGCUUCUGACGCUCUUCGGAGUAGAUGAAGAAUCCAUGAUACUAUCGAGCCGAGAAAAGUUUCUAAGUUUAGCUGAUAUCGCCCGUACCGUAAACCGACACAGGUGGGUGGGAUGAGUAUUCUAAGGCGCGUGGAAGAACUCUCUUUAAGGAACUCUGCAAAAUAGCACCGUAUCUUCGGUAUAAGGUGUGCCUAGCUUCGUUAAGAAUUUACUUCGUAAGCGAAGAAGGUUACAACAAAGAGUCCCUCCCGACUGUUUACCAUAAACACAGCACUCUGCUAACUCGUAAGAGGAUGUAUAGGGUGUGACGCCUGCCCGGUGCUCGAAGGUUAAUUGAUGAUGUUAGCUUAUGCAAAGCAUCUGAUCGAAGCCCGAGUAAACGGCGGCCGUAACUAUAACGGUCCUAAGGUAGCGAAAUUCCUUGUCGGUUAAAUACCGACCUGCAUGAAUGGCGUAACGAGAUGGGAGCUGUCUCAAAGAGGGAUCCAGUGAAAUUGUAGUGGAGGUGAAAAUUCCUCCUACCCGCGGCAAGACGGAAAGACCCCGUGGACCUUUACUAUAGCUUGAUACUGCUAUUGGGAUAAAAAUGUGCAGGAUAGGUGGGAGGCUUUGAUCCAUAGACGCUAGUUUAUGGUGAGCCAUCGUUGAGAUACCACUCUUUUUUAUUUUGAUAGCUAACUAGCCUAAGUUAUCCUUAGGUAGGACAAUGUCUGGUGGGUAGUUUGACUGGGGCGGUCGCCUCCCAAAAUGUAACGGAGGCUUACAAAGGUUGGCUCAAAGCGGUUGGAAAUCGCUUGUAGAGUAUAAAGGCAAAAGCCAGCUUAACUGCGAGACAUACACGUCGAGCAGAGACGAAAGUCGGUCUUAGUGAUCCGGUGGUUCUGUGUGGAAGGGCCAUCGCUCAAAGGAUAAAAGGUACCCCGGGGAUAACAGGCUGAUCUCCCCCAAGAGCUCACAUCGACGGGGAGGUUUGGCACCUCGAUGUCGGCUCAUCGCAUCCUGGG